rnacentral:rRNA from 2 species
UAUAACCGGCGAUACCCGAAUGGGGAAACCCAGUGUGACUCGUCACACUAUCAUUAACUGAAUCCAUAGGUUAAUGAGGCGAACCGGGGGAACUGAAACAUCUAAGUACCCCGAGGAAAAGAAAUCAACCGAGAUUCCCCCAGUAGCGGCGAGCGAACGGGGAGGAGCCCAGAGCCUGAAUCAGCAUGUGUGUUAGUGGAAGCGUCUGGAAAGGCGCGCGAUACAGGGUGACAGCCCCGUACACAAAAGCGCAUGUGCUGUGAGCUCGAUGAGUAGGGCGGGACACGUGGUAUCCUGUCUGAAUAUGGGGGGACCAUCCUCCAAGGCUAAAUACUCCUGACUGACCGAUAGUGAACCAGUACCGUGAGGGAAAGGCGAAAAGAACCCCGGCGAGGGGAGUGAAAAAGAACCUGAAACCGUGUACGUACAAGCAGUGGGAGCACAGGUUUACCUGUGUGACUGCGUACCUUUUGUAUAAUGGGUCAGCGACUUAUAUUCUGUAGCAAGGUUAACCGAAUAGGGGAGCCGGAGGGAAACCGAGUCUUAAUUGGGCGUUAAGUUGCAGGGUAUAGACCCGAAACCCGGUGAUCUAGCCAUGGGCAGGUUGAAGGUUGGGUAACACUAACUGGAGGACCGAACCGACUAAUGUUGAAAAAUUAGCGGAUGACCUGUGGCUGGGGGUGAAAGGCCAAUCAAACCGGGAGAUAGCUGGUUCUCCCCGAAAGCUAUUUAGGUAGCGCCUCGUGAAUUCAUCUCCGGGGGUAGAGCACUGUUUCGGCUAGGGGGCCAUCCCGGCUUACCAACCCGAUGCAAACUGCGAAUACCGGAGAAUGUUAUCACGGGAGACACACGGCGGGUGCUAACGUCCGUCGUGAAGAGGGAAACAACCCAGACCGCCAGCUAAGGUCCCAAAGUCAUGGUUAAGUGGGAAACGAUGUGGGAAGGCCCAGACAGCCAGGAUGUUGGCUUAGAAGCAGCCAUCAUUUAAAGAAAGCGUAAUAGCUCACUGGUCGAGUCGGCCUGCGCGGAAGAUGUAACGGGGCUAAACCAUGCACCGAAGCUGCGGCAGCGACACUGUGUGUUGUUGGGUAGGGGAGCGUUCUGUAAGCCUGUGAAGGUGUGUCGUGAGGCAUGCUGGAGGUAUCAGAAGUGCGAAUGCUGACAUAAGUAACGAUAAAGCGGGUGAAAAGCCCGCUCGCCGGAAGACCAAGGGUUCCUGUCCAACGUUAAUCGGGGCAGGGUGAGUCGACCCCUAAGGCGAGGCCGAAAGGCGUAGUCGAUGGGAAACGGGUUAAUAUUCCCGUACUUGGUGUUACUGCGAAGGGGGGACGGAGAAGGCUAUGUUGGCCGGGCGACGGUUGUCCCGGUUUAAGCGUGUAGGUGUGUGUUCCAGGUAAAUCCGGUUCACUUUAACACUGAGGCGUGACGACGAGGCACUACGGUGCUGAAGCAACAAAUGCCCUGCUUCCAGGAAAAGCCUCUAAGCAUCAGGUAACAUCAAAUCGUACCCCAAACCGACACAGGUGGUCAGGUAGAGAAUACCAAGGCGCUUGAGAGAACUCGGGUGAAGGAACUAGGCAAAAUGGUGCCGUAACUUCGGGAGAAGGCACGCUGACACGUAGGUGAAGUGAUUUACUCAUGGAGCUGAAGUCAGUCGAAGAUACCAGCUGGCUGCAACUGUUUAUUAAAAACACAGCACUGUGCAAACACGAAAGUGGACGUAUACGGUGUGACGCCUGCCCGGUGCCGGAAGGUUAAUUGAUGGGGUCAGCGCAAGCGAAGCUCCUGAUCGAAGCCCCGGUAAACGGCGGCCGUAACUAUAACGGUCCUAAGGUAGCGAAAUUCCUUGUCGGGUAAGUUCCGACCUGCACGAAUGGCGUAAUGAUGGCCAGGCUGUCUCCACCCGAGACUCAGUGAAAUUGAACUCGCUGUGAAGAUGCAGUGUACCCGCGGCAAGACGGAAAGACCCCGUGAACCUUUACUAUAGCUUGACACUGAACAUUGAGCCUUGAUGUGUAGGAUAGGUGGGAGGCUUUGAAGUGUGGACGCCAGUCUGCAUGGAGCCGACCUUGAAAUACCACCCUUUAAUGUUUGAUGUUCUAACGUGGACCCGUUACCCGGGUUGCGGACAGUGUCUGGUGGGUAGUUUGACUGGGGCGGUCUCCUCCUAAAGAGUAACGGAGGAGCACGAAGGUUGGCUAAUCCUGGUCGGACAUCAGGAGGUUAGUGCAAUGGCAUAAGCCAGCUUGACUGCGAGCGUGACGGCGCGAGCAGGUGCGAAAGCAGGUCAUAGUGAUCCGGUGGUUCUGAAUGGAAGGGCCAUCGCUCAACGGAUAAAAGGUACUCCGGGGAUAACAGGCUGAUACCGCCCAAGAGUUCAUAUCGACGGCGGUGUUUGGCACCUCGAUGUCGGCUCAUCACAUCCUGGGGCUGAAGUAGGUCCCAAGGGUAUGGCUGUUCGCCAUUUAAAGUGGUACGCGAGCUGGGUUUAGAACGUCGUGAGACAGUUCGGUCCCUAUCUGCCGUGGGCGCUGGAGAACUGAGGGGGGCUGCUCCUAGUACGAGAGGACCGGAGUGGACGCAUCACUGGUGUUCGGGUUGUCAUGCCAAUGGCACUGCCCGGUAGCUAAAUGCGGAAGAGAUAAGUGCUGAAAGCAUCUAAGCACGAAACUUGCCCCGAG